GGAGAAUUCGCCAGAUACUACACAGUCGCAUACAUAUAAUACGAAUACGUACCACAAGAGCAAUCUGUUGACGUUCAACCGAAACACUACAGCUAAACAAAGAACAACUCGAUUUUAUUCCUCGCUUGUAUUCAAUUUCUGAGACCAUCGUGUAUAUAUUAUAUCAGAUGCGAAUUUAUAUUCGUACAAUCUUUUUGUUAUAAUGCACUAAUCUAUGAUGCGUUGUUACAUGUAAGGUAGUGUAACCAAUAGUGUUGUAUAUACCACUUUCAAAUAGAGCUUGUCAAUGAUUUCUCAUACAUAGGAU